rnacentral:rRNA from 1 species
GACGAACGCUGGCGGCGUGCUUAACACAUGCAAGUCGAACGGAAAGGCCCUGCUUUUGUGGGGUGCUCGAGUGGCGAACGGGUGAGUAACACGUGAGUAACCUGCCCUUGACUUUGGGAUAACUUCAGGAAACUGGGGCUAAUACCGGAUAGGAGCUCCUGCUGCAUGGUGGGGGUUGGAAAGUUUCGGCGGUUGGGGAUGGACUCGCGGCUUAUCAGCUUGUUGGUGGGGUAGUGGCUUACCAAGGCUUUGACGGGUAGCCGGCCUGAGAGGGUGACCGGCCACAGUGGGACUGAGAUACGGCCCAGACUCCUAAGGGAGGCAGCAGUGGGGAAUAUUGCAAAAUGGGCGGAAGCCUGAUGCAGCAACGCCGCGGGCGGGAUGACGGCCUUCGGGUUGUAAACCGCUUUCGCCUGUGACGAAGCGUGAGUGACGGUAAUGGGUAAAGAAGCACCGGAUAACUACGUG